rnacentral:rRNA from 1 species
UACGUAGGGUGCGAGCGUUGCCCGGAUUUAUUGGGUUUAAAGGGUGCGUAGGCGGUUCCAUAAGUCAGUGGUGAAAUACAAUAGCUUAACUAUUGAGGUGCCAUUGAUACUGCGGAACUUGAGUACAGACGAGGUAGGCGGAAUUGACGGUGUAGCGGUGAAAUGCUUAGAUAUCGUCAAGAACACCGAUAGCGAAGGCAGCUUACUAGACUGUAACUGACGCUGAGGCACGAAAGUGUGGGGAUCAAACAGG